UUCUAUGGCGAGCCUAGGCGGUGGGCACCUUCGGGUGCACCGGUCUGUUGACCCGGUACGCCAACCCCGUCUAGCGCCCGCCGCCCUC
rnacentral:antisense_RNA from 1 species